UUGAACGCUGGCGGCAUGCUUUACACAUGCAAGUCGAACGGCAGCGCGGGCUUCGGCCUGGCGGCGAGUGGCGAACGGGUGAGUAAUACAUCGGAACGUGCCCAGUAGUGGGGGAUAGCUCGGCGAAAGCCGGAUUAAUACCGCAUACGACCUGAGGGUGAAAGCGGGGGAUCUUCGGACCUCGCGCUAUUGGAGCGGCCGAUGGCAGAUUAGCUAGUUGGUGGGGUGAAGGCCUACCAAGGCGACGAUCUGUAGCUGGUCUGAGAGGACGACCAGCCACACUGGGACUGAGACACGGCCCAGACUCCUACGGGAGGCAGCAGUGGGGAAUUUUGGACAAUGGGCGAAAGCCUGAUCCAGCAAUGCCGCGUGUGUGAUGAAGGCCUUCGGGUUGUAAAGCACUUUUGGCGGGAACGAAAAGGACUGUGCCAAUACCACGGUUCGAUGACGGUACCCGCAGAAUAAGCACCGGCUAACUACGUG
rnacentral:rRNA from 1 species